rnacentral:rRNA from 1 species
UAUCUCUGUAGAGUCUGCAUAUCAAUAAGCGGAGGAAAAGAAACUAACAAGGAUUCCCUUAGUAACGGCGAGUGAAGCGGGAAGAGCUCAAAUUUGAAAUCUUCAAGGUUCCUACCUUGACGAAUUGUAGUUUAAAGAAGUGUUUUCUGUUAGAUGAGUAGCAAAAGUUCCUUGGAAUGGGACAUCAUAGAGGGUGAGAAUCCCGUAUUUGGUUAUUCAUUCUAGCUUUGUGAUACACUUUCAAAGAGUCGGAUUGUUUGGGAAUGCAGUCCAAAAUGGGUGGUAAAUUUCAUCUAAAGCUAAAUAUUGGCGAGAGACCGAUAGCGAACAAGUACCGUGAGGGAAAGAUGAAAAGAACUUUGAAAAGAGAGUUAAACAGUACGUGAAAUUGUCAAAAGGGAAGCGUUUGACACCAGUGUUGUUUUUCCGAAAAUCAAUUACGAAUGGCUUGAUUUUGUGUUGUAUUGACCUUAUCAGCUUUCUUCACUUUUUUCGAGUCUUUCUUAAUGCACUUUUCGGUUAACAAGUCAACAUCAAUUUCUUUUGUUGUAAAAGAGUAUUCGGAAGGUGGCUUUCUUUUCGGAGAAAGUGUUUAUAGCCCUAUACUUCUACAAUCGGAGAGGUUGAGGUCUGCAGCGUAGAUCCUUCGGGGUUAGAUACACUUGUGCUAAGUUGUAGCUUUUCAUAGACAACUUGUUGACUAUGUUUAGUCAUGCGGCUUACUCGCUUGUGCUAUUUUACCUACGCUUAGGAUGUUGACUGAUAUGUAGUCGUA